GAUGAACGCUGGCGGCGUGCCUAAUACAUGCAAGUCGAGCGAACGGACGAGAAGCUUGCUUCUCUGAUGUUAGCGGCGGACGGGUGAGUAACACGUGGAUAACCUACCUAUAAGACUGGGAUAACUUCGGGAAACCGGAGCUAAUACCGGAUAAUAUUUUGAACCGCAUGGUUCAAAAGUGAAAGACGGUCUUGCUGUCACUUAUAGAUGGAUCCGCGCUGCAUUAGCUAGUUGGUAAGGUAACGGCUUACCAAGGCAACGAUGCAUAGCCGACCUGAGAGGGUGAUCGGCCACACUGGAACUGAGACACGGUCCAGACUCCUACGGGAGGCAGCAGUAGGGAAUCUUCCGCAAUGGGCGAAAGCCUGACGGAGCAACGCCGCGUGAGUGAUGAAGGUCUUCGGAUCGUAAAACUCUGUUAUUAGGGAAGAACAUAUGUGUAAGUAACUGUGCACAUCUUGACGGUACCUAAUCAGAAAGCCACGGCUAACUACGUGCCAGCAGCCGCGGUAAUACGUAGGUGGCAAGCGUUAUCCGGAAUUAUUGGGCGCAAAGCGCGCGUAGGCGGUUUUUUAAGUCUGAUGUGAAAGCCCACGGCUCAACCGUGGAGGGUCAUUGGAAACUGGAAAACUUGAGUGCAGAAGAGGAAAGUGGAAUUCCAUGUGUAGCGGUGAAAUGCGCAGAGAUAUGGAGGAACACCAGUGGCGAAGGCGACUUUCUGGUCUGUAACUGACGCUGAUGUGCGAAAGCGUGGGGAUCAAACAGGAUUAGAUACCCUGGUAGUCCACGCCGUAAACGAUGAGUGCUAAGUGUUAGGGGGUUUCCGCCCCUUAGUGCUGCAGCUAACGCAUUAAGCACUCCGCCUGGGGAGUACGACCGCAAGGUUGAAACUCAAAGGAAUUGACGGGGACCCGCACAAGCGGUGGAGCAUGUGGUUUAAUUCGAAGCAACGCGAAGAACCUUACCAAAUCUUGACAUCCUUUGACAACUCUAGAGAUAGAGCUUUCCCCUUCGGGGGACAAAGUGACAGGUGGUGCAUGGUUGUCGUCAGCUCGUGUCGUGAGAUGUUGGGUUAAGUCCCGCAACGAGCGCAACCCUUAAGCUUAGUUGCCAUCAUUAAGUUGGGCACUCUAAGUUGACUGCCGGUGACAAACCGGAGGAAGGUGGGGAUGACGUCAAAUCAUCAUGCCCCUUAUGAUUUGGGCUACACACGUGCUACAAUGGACAAUACAAAGGGCAGCGAAACCGCGAGGUCAAGCAAAUCCCAUAAAGUUGUUCUCAGUUCGGAUUGUAGUCUGCAACUCGACUACAUGAAGCUGGAAUCGCUAGUAAUCGUAGAUCAGCAUGCUACGGUGAAUACGUUCCCGGGUCU
rnacentral:rRNA from 1 species